ACCACUAGGGGUGCCCAAAGCUGACUCCCGUCUGCGAGGGCUGAGAUCACACCCUCUGAACCUGAUCCGGGUCAUGCCGGCGCCAGGGAAGUGAAG
rnacentral:ncRNA from 1 species